UACGUGAGGGGCGAACGUUGUUCGGUGUCACUGGGCUUAAAGGGCGCGUAGGUGGCUGCGUAAGUAAGGUGUGAAAGCCCUCGGCUUACCCGGGGAAUUGCGCCUGAUACUGCGUGGCUUGAGGAUCUCAGGGGAAGGGGGAACUCCAGGUGUAGCGGUGAAAUGCGCAGAUAUCUGGGGGAAGGCCGGCGGCGAAGGCGCCCUUCUGGGAGAUUCCUGACACUGAGGCGCGAAAGCGUGGGGAGCAAACAGG
rnacentral:rRNA from 1 species